rnacentral:lncRNA from 1 species
GUUGGUUGGGGAUGUAGCUUGGCAACACUGUGCCUGCCUGGUAAGCGCAAGGUCCUGAGUUUGAUUCCUGGUACUGAAAAAAAACAAAAAAACAAAACAAAGAAACAAAAAAACAAAAAAAGAAAAGACAUGCUGCUCUUAUGGAAAGGUGACUUUUAUUUCCACCCUGAAUGAUUAUUACACCAUUAUUUAAACAUAUCUGAAAAAAUCCUGAAAUAAUUUAAACAGAAGGCACAGAACAAAUCAAAAUAUUUAACUGUAAGAACUUAAGUGAGAAAAUUCAAACAUUUCAACAGCAACAAUAAAUUAUGAACAGGUCUCCAUCACCAAAUAUCAUUCUGAUCAAAAGCUAUAGUCGCUCCUUAUAACUCUAUUGUGUUGGCUGAUUCCCAGAUUUCCAUGAUAAAAAUACUGAAAAAAAUUCUUUCAAAAUACUCAUUAGACCACCAGGUUCAGUGUAUUUUACAUAUGACCAAGUAGCAAUUAUGCUAUUUGUUGAUGGAUGCCCAACCCCUAAGAAAUGACACAUUCUUAAAAACUUUAAAAAAAGUAGCAAUGUUGGUUACAAAAUUCUAUUUGGGGAACAGAAAAAAAACUUGUUCCAAGUCAAUUAGAAUAUCAAAGCAUUUCAAUAUCAAAUUGCUUGAAAAGCCAAUCUUCAUGUAACAGUAAUAUACUGCAUGGGGCAUUUCACUGUAUCCUGAUUAAGUAUCGACUAUACAGUGUUGCUGCAGGGUUGAACAAGUCAGUAGCGAUUAUUGUCGCCAAUUCUUGUUUAUUCCAAAGAGAUAUGUUUUUUUUUUUGGUACCAGGGAUCGAACUCAGGACCUUGCGCUUGCGAGGCAGGCGGCAGAACCACUGAGCUAAAUCCCUGGCCCUGAAAGAGAUAUGUUUUUACAAAGCAUUAUAAAGCUAACUGGAAUAAUCAAUAAGAUGCUACAGAUAUAAUAAACCACAGCAAUGCGUUUGAAAAUGAAGUGGUCAUGCUUCAUAAUAUACUGUAGUAUUUGAAAUACAUUCUAUGAUUAUCAAUACCAUUUAUUACAGAGGUCACUUGGAAAUUAGCUCAGAUUCUGAACUAGCUCUCUAAGUGAAACUUUUUUCAAGUAUGCAUAAUAUUAGUAAAGAUUUUUUUUUAACUUUCUUAUGUGUUCAAAGCACAACUGUGUUGAAUAUGGGAUGAGACAGUUUUCAAAACUAUUUUAAAAAUAUGAAAUAGUCCAGUGACCAAGAGUGGACUGAAAGAUAUUAACAUAUAAAACCCACUAUUUCAGAUUUUAAAAA